AAAUAAGGUAAGCUAAAACCAAGCUAGUGGGCUCAUAACCCAAAAAUGAUAAUUUCCCUUAUU
rnacentral:tRNA from 1 species